rnacentral:rRNA from 1 species
UUAAUUAUGAACUUAUUUUUAUAUUAUUUGGUCUAUUAUUUUAUUGAAAUAUCUUUUGGUUAUUGUAUUGAUUAAUGAUUUAAUUGUUUUUGUGAUAGUUUAUUUUGUACUGUGUAGGUUAUGUUAUAGGAUUUUUUAUAAGUAAAUUUGUUUUAUUGUACCUUGUGUAUCAGGGUUUAUUUAAAUUUAAAAUUUAUUUUGAUUUUCUCGAUUUUAGAAGAGUUAAUGAAUUAUUUUGGUUAUAAUUAUAAAUAUAUCAGUAAUAUUUAUUGGUGGUGAAAUGUUAUUCGAUUCUGAUGAUAUCUAGUUCCUUGAGAAAUAAAUUAAAUUUGUGUUUAUAUUAUUGAUAUUUAUUUGUGUGAUUUUAUGUUUUAAUUAAAGCAACUAUUUUGGGGGAUUACCUCUGAAAUAUAUUUUUAUAAUUUAUUAAUGUUUUUUAUUUUGUUGGGUUUAGGAAUAAUUAUAUUUUUAAGUAUGUUGAAAUUUGUUUAUGAUUAAUUUAUUUAUUUAUUGUAAUGGUUUAGAUUUUUUAUUAAGGUAAUUUAUUUAAUUGUAUUGUAUUAUUAUUUAUGAUGAAAUUAGUAUAAUUUUCUUUGUUGAUUGAUAUUUUCUGUUUGACAAUUUGUUAUUAGGAAUUCGGCAAAUAUAUUGUUCAUUUGUUUAACAAAAACAUUUUCUCUUGUUUUUAAUUGGAGAUAUAGUCUGCCCACUGAUAGUUUUGAAGGGCCGCGGUAUUUUGACCGUGCAAAGGUAGCAUAAUCAUUAGUUUUUUAAUUGAGAACUGGAAUGAAUGGCUGGAUGAGAUAAUGGCUUUCUUAUAAUUAAUUUAUUAUAAUUUAACUUUUGGAUUAAAAGGUCUAAAUAUAUUUAUGGGACGAGAAGACCCUAUAGAGUUUAAUAAUAGGUAUUUGUUAAGUUGUUGGUUAAAAUAAUAAUAGGUUUAUAAUUAUUUAGUUGGGGUGACUGUGAGAAUUAGUUAACUCUUAUUUAAUUUUUUUUACUGAUUUGUAUGUAUUGGAUCCAAUAUUGUUGAUUAUGAGACUAAAUUACCUUAGGGAUAACAGCGUAAUCCUUUUGGAGAGUUCUAAUCGAUAAAGGGAAUUGCGACCUCGAUGUUGGAUUUAAGAUAAAUUAUUGGUGAAGAAUUUAAUAUAAUUAGGUCUGUUCGACCUUUAAAAUUUUACAUGAUCUGAGUUCAAACCGGCGUGAGCCAGGUUGGUUUCUAUCUAUAAUUUUGUUUAAUACUUUAGUACGAAAGGACCAAGUGUUUUUAAUAAUUUUUAUUAAUAUUUUAUUGAUUAAUUUUG